UGCCCAUUUUAAGCCUGCAAUGCUCUGCAGGUACUCUGGCUCCCUGUUAAAGGCUCCAGGUCUCCUCAGUGAGGAGGAUUUUCAUCUACUCCCCUUUAUCACGUGUUCAUGGCACAUAAAGAAAACUUUGAGGCUAUUUGUUGACAUAAAAGCAGACCUGAUCUGAAGUGGUGUGGGCUGUUUGAGCAGCUCAGUGCUGACAGGGACCAAAUCCAGUGACCAGGACCGACCCUAUGGAGUCACCCUGGUGAAACAGCACAGAAUGCAGACAAUCCCCUGCACACAAGGAAACAGCCCCAGUGAUCACAGACCGAGUUUUCAGUCUGACAUGUACUUGUACUUGGUGGUGCAUGAGCAAAUAAACCAGCAGCUUCAUACCUUAUAAAAUAACAAAUGAUUAGCCACAAAGAGGAGUCAUCAUCCUUAAGGAACAGGCCUGCUUGGGAAGGAAAGGCUGUCUGGAGGCUGCAGGGCACAGCACUAUCCUCAGGUGCUUUGAGAUGUCUGAGCAAGGUUCCUGGCACUAAAGGAGGAGAGAAAAAAAUGUGCUUUUCAUGCCGAGGGCUGUGUGCCACUAGAAUUCAGCUUGCCUGCUAGCCCAGGCUUUCUCAAGCUUGGCUUAAUAAAAUCCAGAUCUCAUCUAAUGAGUUCAGAGGGUGCUUCAGAAUGUCUCAUCGUGGAAAGUGCUGAUUUUGCACACCAAGCCAAGGAAGGUUUAUGGCACCAAAAGAGUCUCCAAAGUCUUUAUCCUCACUGACCUGAAGGAGAAAAAGCUCCCUGGGCUGUUAGCAGCACCUCUCCUCCUCCUGCAGCACAUUGUGACUUGGCUUUUAUUGCAACCAUGCCUUUCCUCAUGACACAACUUCUGUGACAGUGCUCCAGCUCUGCCAUGGCAUUCCUGGGCAUUUCAGCUGGGCCUGCCUUUGCCCAAAUCAAGGGAAUCUAACCCGUGGGUUUGGGACAGGCACUGCUUUAGCCCACACAGUGGUGGUUUCUUUGCUUUCUUCUGGAUUUUUUUCUCUCUUGGUCACUCAGUUGCUGGCUUUAAAUGAAAAAGGGACAUUUGGAAAGGCAGAGUGGCAGCUCUGAGCCAUUAUAGUUGACAAUUAAAAGUGCAACAUCUCUUCCAUCAUGCAGGGCUUUAGGUUCAAGCCUGCAGAGGAAAAGGGGUUACUUCCAAAGCCCUGAAUCCCUUUAAAUAAAUAUCAGCCAGCAUUUGCCUUGCAGUCAGCAGGGACUGAGGUGAGCCAAGCAGUGGCAGCAAUGCUCUCCCUAAUCAAGCAUCCUUCUCUCUCUUCAAUCAGGUGGAGCAAGUGGCAUGUUGACUUGCUGGCUGGGGCUGGAUCCAGCCCUGCUCCUGCAGGUUUGCAGUGCCUGGGGCAGCCAUCUGUGGGGCAGCAGCACUGCUGGGCCACCUCUGCCCCCUAAUCUCCCUGCUCCCAUCCACACGUGCUGUCCUGAUACCGACAGCCGGUCCCACGCGGGCAUCGUGCCAGCAGUGACUUUACAGGCUUUGUGGCAGAGAUUAUUUAAAGGAGAUUAACCCUUCUAAACCCCUUAGAUUUUAAUUAUUUCUGUAUGUAUUUAUAAAACCUGCAGUCUGCUAGUUCCAGGGCACAACUGCCCCAGUCCCCAUCCUUAACCUGGAUUCAUGAAUGUACAACGCACCCAUGGACAGGGCUCCUUGGAUUUAUUUAUUUAUCUAUUUAUUACCAUUCUGGAACAAUUCACAUCUGGGAUGAAAAUUAAACAUUAUGAUUUCAAAUUGUAAAAAAGAGCUAAUAAUUUGAACCACUUUAAAAUACUAAUAGGGCAUUAAUUGAAUUGUUUGAAUCUAUGAGGCAGCUCUGGCUAAUUAUUUUGGUUAGGGCAGCUCUGUCAUUAAUGCCUCCCCACUGCCCAUAUUGUGAGCACACUGGGACACACUGUCUCUCUGAAGACAGGACUAUCUGUAAGGGUGAUGUACUGGAAGCCAGGAGGGGGAAGGACUGUUUCUUUCAUUCAGUCUCUGGCAAGUUUAUUAUAUGUACAAUAAUGUUAUGAGACCCUGUAGUCUAGAAAACUGUCAUGACUAGGAGCUGCUGGUUAUAGAAGGGAGAAAAAAAGGGUGUGCACUUCCAUCCUUUCAUGCUUUCUCUCCUGUUAGUCAUGUUAGUGCUGGGCUAAUUAGCCUGGUAGAGUUAAGGAGUGAUGGAGGGAGCGUUUCCACUCUGCACGUGAGCUGUAAAACCCAAAUAAAACUGGAAAUACCUUGUUUCUGCUUCACAGCACAA